AGGAGGCGUCAGUGCCAGAAAUUUAUUAGUAUUUACGCUCUCUUCGUGACUUUGUCCAGAUGUUUGCUUUGUUACAUGCUAAACAAAAGCCAAAGAAUAAAAAGGUGACCCAGGACUAAAGCUCUCUUUAGAAGAACUGUCACUGGACUUCAGUGCCCACAAUUUACCAGAAGACAACUGGGUACAAUAAAAUAUCAUCAGCAUCACAAUAAUAGUAACAUUGUAAUGUUUAUCAAUAAAAAGCAUUAUUCAUC